CGUCACUUCCUUUAAACCAAAACGAGGCUGCGGGGUACGGAAGUAACGUUGGCUCGCCCAUCUGUAGACUUCUGUCAUAACGUUACCUACAAUGCCGCCGCAUUGUUGUGUUCCCGAAUGUACGUCUUCAAAGAGAAAGAACUCCUAUACAGGUCAAACCUUCCUUCGUUUCCCCAAAGAUCCUGUACUUGGCCGUGAAUGGAUUCAUAAAAUAAGAAGAGAUCCCGGUCGCCAUUUCAUGAAUUCACCAACAGAGUCGGAGAACGGAGGGACCUGCACCCGCUGGACCAGAACCUGCCCCAGGCGGAGUGGGUGUUGCUGAAGGUCAUCAAGCGAAAGUGGUCGGAGCCAAGGUGGACAGGUCCUCAUCAGGUGGUGGAGAGAACGAGUCAUGCGGUCCGCCUGAGGGACAAAGGAGAGACGUGGUACCAUUGGAGUCAGUGUACACCAGCGCAGGAGCCAGGGAGGUCGCUAACGGACCUCAUCCAAGCCGGGAAGGAGGAGCUUUCCCCAGCGGGGACGGAAGAAGGACCAACACCAGCCGGACCGGUGCCAGGAGCGGACCCCAGGACACGGCAGGACCACGAGCGAGUGAAGGAGACAGAGGACGGCGCCAGGGGAAUAGACUCUUAGGGGAAAGAACUGAAGAAUACUGUAACAAAAGGGGGUAUAGGACACCGAGUGGCUCAUACCACUCGUACCAAGAUGACAGGGUUACAGAGAAAGGUCUGGGGAGAUGAUAGUAGAAUGAAAUGUUAUAUGGGCAUUGGUGGAAUAAUAUGUGUGUUGUAUGUUGCUACAGGUUUCCCUGGCUGGCGUCGAGUCUCCAUCUCCACAGCGAGAAGGCAGGUGACACAAAAAGAGGACGCCUGCCUGAAGCAGGGAGGGGGUAUUGAAUUGGAUUAUAUCAAAGGGUCACAUACUGCUUUCACGUUUGACCUAUGCUCGGUCAUAGCUUGCGGGAGAUAUAAUGGCUCGUGGAGGGAUUACAACUUGUAUGUGUGUCACACUCCAGAUGUAGAUAGGAUGUGUGGCCUGAUGGGACGUCUGCCGGGUGAGAGGUGGUGCCCGGGAUGGGACGAGGUCCGAGCGUAUACGGGACAGUGGCAGCCCGGACUCCCGAGGGGACCGAAUGCCACUAUGUGGAGCUCAUUUAAGUUCCAACGAGAUUUCAGCUCCUCCCAGAAUCCACUUACCUUGUCUGUCGGAGGUUGGGACACCUCUCCAUACAGAGGCGCGGACACGACAUAUUUGGUUCUCGGAGUGGAGCAUGCAGGGACUGAUACCAAAGCGUUUAUUAAAAUCAACAUUAGGGUGCCGACAACUAGCUCUCCAGCUGUGGCAGUUACGGGGACUGUGG
ensembl:lncRNA